rnacentral:pre_miRNA from 1 species
AAGCGAGCAAAGAAGUAGUAUUUGUUUGCUUUUAAUGGUCAAAUAUAACUUUUUUGGAAGCUACG